UACGUAGGGCGCAAGCGUUGUCCGGAAUUAUUGGGCGUAAAGAGCUCGUAGGCGGUUUGUCGCGUCUGCUGUGAAAACCUAAGGCUCAACCUUGGGCUUGCAGUGGGUACGGGCAGACUAGAGUGCGGUAGGGGUGACUGGAAUUCCUGGUGUAGCGGUGGAAUGCGCAGAUAUCAGGAGGAACACCGAUGGCGAAGGCAGGUCACUGGGCCGAUACUGACGCUGAGGAGCGAAAGCAUGGGUAGCGAACAGG
rnacentral:rRNA from 1 species